UUGCUCCCGGAUGUUAGCGGCGGACGGGUGAGUAACACGUGGGUAACCUGCCUGUAAGACUGGGAUAACUCCGGGAAACCGGAGCUAAUACCGGAUAGUUCCUUGAACCGCAUGGUUCAAGGAUGAAAGACGGUUUCGGCUGUCACUUACAGAUGGACCCGCGGCGCAUUAGCUAGUUGGUGGGGUAAUGGCUCACCAAGGCGACGAUGCGUAGCCGACCUGAGAGGGUGAUCGGCCACACUGGGACUGAGACACGGCCCAGACUCCUACGGGAGGCAGCAGUAGGGAAUCUUCCGCAAUGGACGAAAGUCUGACGGAGCAACGCCGCGUGAGUGAUGAAGGUUUUCGGAUCGUAAAGCUCUGUUGUUAGGGAAGAACAAGUGCGAGAGUAACUGCUCGCACCUUGACGGUACCUAACCAGAAAGCCACGGCUAACUACGUGCCAGCAGCCGCGGUAAUACGUAGGUGGCAAGCGUUGUCCGGAAUUAUUGGGCGUAAAGGGCUCGCAGGCGGUUUCUUAAGUCUGAUGUGAAAGCCCCCGGCUCAACCGGGGAGGGUCAUUGGAAACUGGGAAACUUGAGUGCAGAAGAGGAGAGUGGAAUUCCACGUGUAGCGG
rnacentral:rRNA from 1 species